CUAAGUUUGAUUACGCAAAAAUGGAGUUCGUCUCUACUCCUGCGCCUUCAUCGAGAAUGUCGACAGAGGAAGCUAGGGAUUCGUCAUCUCCCCCAGAUCCGACCAUGUCAAACAAGCAUGGAUGUUCUGGAAGGAACCUCGAGUCAGAUCUUCAUAAUCAACUUUUGUGUCGUUCACAGUUCCUGUCGUUACUCGUUACGCUUGCUUUUGACCUCCUCUGAUCUUUUAUGCAGCGGUGGAUCUUCACUAAUAAAAAGGGGAGACUUCACCUUACGAAAAUCAUCCUCCCGGUUCCUAAUAUCAGCAAAACCUCAUCUUCUUCGAUUUCAUAGCUUAGCCUUUCAUGCUCGCUGAUUUGAAGGCCGUCGGUGUUCUUCCACUGUGGUGGUGUGACUUCAGCUUCUGGGAAGCGAGAAACGUGAAAGGAGGCGGCGAACUGAUGGGCUUGGACAUGCUUAUCCUCGACUAUAAAGGAGCAACCCUCAUACCGCCACUGUCUCACGGCUUACCGGCAUCUUUUUAAGGCGGAUUUGAUGUACUCCUUUGGCUGAUUUGAUGUAACUUGCUACAAUCAGAAUUACAGGCUCUUUAACUCACCUCUACUGAUACGGUUCAGCGGUUCAACCGAAUUUGAAGAGAUACGGUUCUACCAAUUCCUAAAGAACGCUCAAGUUCCGUAAUCACAGUGAGGUACUUAGGCUGGCCAACAAGAACACACACCUUCCCGCUCACAGCUGUGAAGAGUAUUGUGAGUGACCCUACACAAGGAAAACAUCGUGUCAUGACCGGAGGGCUCCAGCUGCUCCCAGUUAUGAUGAUGUUGCAAGAAGCAUAAACCUCAAGGUUGUUGGAGGUGCUCAGUCAUGUUAUGGCAACAAUUAAAAUCGACAGUGAUGUUUCUCUGACUUUGAGUUUGUUCCGCUCGCAACUCUCAAGCUCUAUCGUUUCACAAGCACCUGGAAGGCUUUUGUGUUGAUCUAAUAGUUGUUGCAACAAGCAUAAACCCCCAAGAUUGUUGGAGGUAUUCUGUCAUGUAUCAUCUGGUUUUUGUUAACUGUGCAUUACUUUACUGCUUCUUGGAACAAACAUAAACCCCAAAAGCGGAAAAACAUGAGUUUUUCACAGGUCAAUAUAUAGUUUAAUAGCUUAGUUUGACAGUCUAUAUUUUUUGUUUAAAUAGGAGAAACAUGAAUUUUCACAUAUCUGUGCAUUAUCAUGUGACA